rnacentral:tRNA from 1 species
GGGAGUUUGGUCUAGUGGUAUGAUUCUCGCUUUGGGUGUGGGAGGUCGCGGGUUCGAUUCCCGCAACUUCCC